AUUGAACGCUGGCGGCAGUCUUCACACAUGCAAGUCGAGCGAGCGGCGGACGGGUGAGUAAUGUCUGGGAAACUGCCCGAUGGAGGGGGAUAACUACUGGAAACGGUAGCUAAUACCGCAUACCAUCAGAUGUGCCCAGAUGGGAUUAGCUAGUAGGUGGGGUAAUGGCUCACCUAGGCGACGAUCCCUAGCUGGUCUGAGAGGAUGACCAGCAACACUGGAACUGAGACACGGUCCAGACGCCUAAGGGAGGCAGCAGUGGGGAAUAUUGCACAAGGGGCGCAAGCCUGAUGCAGCCAUGCCGCGGGUAUGAAGAAGGCCUUCGGGUUGUAAAGCACUUUCAGCGAGGAGGCGUUACUCGCAGAAGAAGCAGCGGCUAACUCCGUGCCAGCAGCCGCGGUAAUAC
rnacentral:rRNA from 1 species